rfam:Xanthobacter autotrophicus Py2, complete genome.
GGUCACCCCUCCAAAGGGCGACGUUACUGAAGAGGCACUACAUCUUGCCGGCCGUGCGGAGCGGGAAUCCCUCUCCAAUCGUGCGCAGUUGUCUCGCCCGCGCCUG